UGGGGAAUUUUGGACAAUGGGCGAAAGCCUGAUCCAGCCAUUCCGCGUGAGUGAAGAAGGCCUUCGGGUUGUAAAGCUCUUUCGGCAGGAAAGAAAUCGUUGCUCCUAAUACGAGUGAUGGAUGACGGUACCUGAAGAAGAAGCACCGGCUAACUACGUGCCAGCAGCCGCGGUAAUACGUAGGGUGCGAGCGUUAAUCGGAAUUACUGGGCGUAAAGCGUGCGCAGGCGGUUUCGUAAGUCAGAUGUGAAAGCCCCGGGCUCAACCUGGGAACUGCGUUUGAAACUGCGAGGCUAGAGUGUGUCAGAGGGGGGUAGAAUUCCACGUGUAGCAGUGAAAUGCGUAGAGAUGUGGAGGAAUACCGAUGGCGAAGGCAGCCCCCUGGGAUAACACUGACGCU
rnacentral:rRNA from 1 species